rnacentral:lncRNA from 1 species
UUUUUGAGAAAAAAUAUGAAUUAAGGAGGAAAUUAAAAAUAAUUUUGGGAAGAGGGGGGCAAAAUUUGAGUUCGGAGGGUGUUUUUGAAAGAAAAAUUGAAAACAGGGAGUCAAAGUGCAAAUAGAGAAAGUUCAGCCAUGUAGAACCGCCCAGUCAGCAACCUUGACAAAUUGGAGCGCGCCGCAUGGCAAGGCGCACUAACGUUGGUGCCACGCAGGAGUUCACACUAACGAUUUGCACGCGUGGAUGGCCUGGAUCCAUUUUUACCUUAGCCGCGAUCGGACGGAUGAGAUCGAUCAUGAUGGACGGUCCAGAUCAAUGCAUAAUGGUUAUAAAUAGUUUGCAUCACUAAGAAAUCUAAACCCUAGCCAUCAGUCCCCGCUGGAGAAGAAGAACCAACUACCGGAGAAGGAGGCCGACUGCCGACCGCUGCCACGUCGGAGCCACUGCUGACCGUCAAAAAAGGUAAAAAUUUUCCCCCAACCAUUUAGAAUUUGAUUUCAAGUACCACUGUGGCCAAAUCGGAGCAAGAAGAACGAUGGGUGAGCCAGAAACUAUGAGC